CCGUUGAGCCUUGUUAAGCCUAUGUUCUUUGUUAACCCACACUAUCCUUACCUAGCCUAGUUUUAGGAUCAUCCAUACCCUUGUUCUUGAAGCAUAGUAAAGCAUGACCUAAAAUGAACUUUUUUUUUAUCAAUGUAUUGUAGAAAGCAAGUGUGGGGGAAGUGAUUCUUGUGUGUGUGUGUACCAGAGUCCUUAAUAAGGCACGGGUAAAGACAAGAAAAAAAAAAGUAUGAAAAAGAGCUCUAAAGUGUUGUUUGUUAAAAAAGGGUCCAAAACAUUGAAUUCAGCCCUAAGUGUUGCAUGAAUCUUCCCCUUGUAUGUAAAAGUUGAUUCUGCAUUCUAAAGUGAAUUCCAAGUGUCUAUUUCAUUGCUUUGCUUGCUAUCGCUUUAAGAAUGUUUGUUAUUCCUAUCCUUUCUUUGUUAGCCAUUACCCCCAAGUCUUGUUACAACCCUUAACUUCAAUCUUGAGUGUUGUGCGUUACAAUUUGUGGAGUUCGAAAUUGGUAUGAGCAUAUGAUGUCACUGGUUCUCGCAUCUAAGUAGUAGCAUACCAUUCAUGAGAUCAUAUCUAAACAUGCUUAAUAACUCCAGAAAAUUGUUUUCUUUGUUAUAACAGAUGUGAGUCCCAAUCUCUAGUGUAGGGUGUGUGGUUAGAAAAUAUGUGUGAAAAUAGAGAGUAUCUUGUAAGGAAUUGAGCAAAUUCUCUAAGGCAUGUUACUACAUUCAAAACAUUGUUUUAAUUGGUUAAUUGUGAACUAGUAAGUAGUGACUGUGAUUAAGUUUGUGCUCAAGUGUGAAGAUAACCAAAAGCUGUGGGAAUGAUGAUUUUUAACAUGUCAUGUGCAUUGGAAAUCCCUAAGGCAAAUGUAGGAAGGUUAGGUUUUGUUUUGUUUGUUUCGUUUCAUUUCAUUUUGUUUCUUUUGUUUUGCUCGAGGACUAGCAAAAGCUAAGUGUGGGGGAAUUUGAUAGGAGCAUAUUUAUGCAACUUAGUUAACUUGUUUCUUGGCAUUUACUUAGUUUAAUUCUAGUUAUUUUAGUACUUUAAGCUGUUUUCGUGUGUUUGUAGGUUCAAAUAACAAAGUUAGCAACAAAGUGCUAUUUGGAGCAUUUUUGGGCCAAGAUUGGAUAGUGCAAGCAUGGAGACAUGAUGAUGGAUGUUUUUGAAGAUUUGAAGGCUAGAAAUCAACAUGUGUGUGUGCAAGUGUGUUGACCUACAACUAUAAACAUCCAUCCACUACACCCAUUACAUCCACUCAUUACAAAACAUCCAUCCACUACACCCAUUACAUCCACUCAUUACCAAACAUUCACCCACUACACCCAUUACAUCCACUCAUUACCACAACACUCACCCACUACACCCAUUACAUUCACUCAUUACCAUACAUCCAUCCACUACACCCACUACAUUCACUCAUUACCAAACAUCCAUCCACUACACCCAUUACAUCCACUCAUUACCAAACAUUCACCCAUUACAUCCACUCAUUACCACAACACUCACCCAUUACACCAAUUACAUCCACUCAUUACCAAACAUCCAUCCACUACACCCAUUACAUCCACUCAUUACCAAACACUCACCCACUACACCCAUUACAUCCACUCAUUACCAAACAUCCAUCCACUACACCCAUUACAUCCACUCAUUACCAAACAUUCACCCACUACACCCAUUACAUCCACUCAUUACCACAACAUACACCACUACCACCUUAAUUAGAUGGUGGUCCUCUCCCUAGCCUAUAAAUACAUCCACCCUUCACCAUAAC
rnacentral:lncRNA from 1 species